rnacentral:rRNA from 1 species
UACAGAGGUGGCAAGCGUUGUUCGGAUUCACUGGGCGUAAAGGGUGCGCAGGUGGGUUUGCAAGUUCGAUGUGAAAGCCCCGGGCUUAACCCGGGAAUGGCAUUGGAUACUGCAGAUCUGGAGGAUCGGAGGGGGGACUGGAAUUCUUGGUGUAGCAGUGAAAUGCGUAGAUAUCAAGAGGAACACCAGUGGCGAAGGCGAGUCCCUGGACGAUACCUGACACUGAGGCACGAAAGCUAGGGGAGCAAACAGG